rnacentral:tRNA from 1 species
GUCCCUGUAGCUUACAAAAAGCAUGGCACUGAAGAUGCCAAGACGGCUGCCCCUCCGCACCCAAGGACA